GACGAAGGUGGCUAGCGUUGUUCGGAAUCAUUGGGCUUAAAGAGCACGUAGGCGGCCCGCCAAGUGUCUUGUGAAAUCCCCCGGCUCAACCGGGGAAUGGCUCGGCAAACUGGUGGGCUUGAGGCAGGUAGGGGCGAGUGGAACUCUUGGUGGAGCGGUGGAAUGCGUAGAUAUCAAGAGGAACGCCGGAGGCGAAGGCGACUCGCUGGGCCUGUCCUGACGCUCAGGUGCGAAAGCCAGGGGAGCAAACAGG
rnacentral:rRNA from 1 species